AGUGAACGCUGGCGGUAGGCCUAACACAUGCAAGUCGAACGGCAGCACAGGAGAGCUUGCUCUCUGGGUGGCGAGUGGCGGACGGGUGAGGAAUACAUCGGGAUCUACUUUUUCGUGGGGGAUAACGUAGGGGAACUUACGCUAAUACCGCAUACGACCUACGGGUGAAAGCAGGGGAUCUUCGGACCUUGCGCGAUUGAAUGAGCCGAUGUCGGAUUAGCUAGUUGGCGGGGUAAAGGCCCACCAAGGCGACGAUCCGUAGCUGGUCUGAGAGGAUGAUCAGCCACACUGGAACUGAGACACGGUCCAGACUCCUACGGGAGGCAGCAGUGGGGAAUAUUGGACAAUGGGCGCAAGCCUGAUCCAGCCAUACCGCGUGGGUGAAGAAGGCCUUCGGGUUGUAAAGCCCUUUUGUUGGGAAAGAAAUCCAGCUGGCUAAUACCCGGUUGGGAUGACGGUACCCAAAGAAUAAGCACCGGCUAACUUCGUGCCAGCCGCCGCCGUAA
rnacentral:rRNA from 1 species